rnacentral:rRNA from 1 species
AUUGAACGCUGGCGGCAUGCCUUACACGUGCAAGUCGAACGGUAACAGGUCUUCGGAUGCUGACGAGUGGCGAACGGGUGAGUAAUACAUCGGAACGUGCCUAGUAGUGGGGGAUAACUACUCGAAAGAGUGGCUAAUACCGCAUGAGAUCUACGGAUGAAAGCAGGGGAUCGCAAGACCUUGUGCUACUAGAGCGGCCGAUGGCAGGUUAGGUAGUUGGUGGGAUAAAAGCUUACCAAGCCGACGAUCUGUAGCUGGUCUGAGAGGACGAUCAGCCACACUGGGACUGAGACACGGGCCAGACUCCUACGGGAGGCAGCAGUGGGGAAUUUUGGACAAUGGGCGAAAGCCUGAUCCAGCAAUGCCGCGUGCAGGAUGAAGGCCUUCGGGUUGUAAACUGCUUUUGUACGGAACGAAAAGCCCCGGGUUAAUACCCUGGGGUCAUGACGGUACCGUAAGAAUAAGCACCGGCUAACUACGUGCCAGCCGCCGCGGUAA